rnacentral:rRNA from 1 species
AACGAACGCUGGCGGCAUGCCUAACACAUGCAAGUCGAACGAGAUCUUCGGGUCUAGUGGCGCACGGGUGCGUAACGCGUGGGAAUCUGCCCUUUGGUUCGGAAUAACAGUUGGAAACGACUGCUAAUACCGGAUGAUGACGAAAGUCCAAAGAUUUAUCGCCAGAGGAUGAGCCCGCGUAGGAUUAGCUAGUUGGUGUGGUAAAGGCGAGCAAAGGCGACGAUCCUUGGUUGGUCUGAGAGGAUGAUCAGCCACACUGGAACUGAGACACGGCCCAGACUCCUACGGGAGGCAGCAGUGGGAGUAUUGGACGAUGGGCGAAAGCCUGAUCCAGCAAUGCCGCGUGAGUGAUGAAGGCCUUAGGGUUGUAAAGCUCUUUUACCUGGGAUGAUAAUGACAGUACCGGGAGAAUAAGCUCCGGCUAACUCCGUGCCAGCCGCCGCGGUAA